GUAAACACAACGCAGGAACAUCAUGAAAAAGCCCGUUCCGGCGCUGGGCUGCAGAGGGCGCUGUCGGGUAAACAGGUCAUUUCGCGGCACAAAGCAGCUCACAGCGCAUCUCUGAAGUAACGCGGUCAACGCGGUCAGAUUCACCUUUCCAACAUGUGCCAUGCAACAAACUGGGUCACUGAAAACCGCGGAAGUUUAUUCCUCACCCCCCCCCCCGCCCCCGGACCAGGUUUUCCCAUUUCUGUGAGGUUGACCUUUACACCUGAAGAGUCAUCGAAACCCAGCUAGUGAUAAAGAAGUGAAGAUUUCAAAAAAACGGAGGGAGAAUGGAAUCUGGUCUCUGGUUUUCAAGCGAUUCCAGUUGCUUGAUUUAGUCUCAUUGGAAUGUUUGAGCAUUUGAGGAAAAGGCCCUUAACUCUAUUUGCCAAACCCCAUAAAGUAGGAGCUGAACUGACAUUUAAAAUCGGAGCAGCCUUGACGGGCUUGCGUUCUUACUUGCGUCCUUUAAAUCUUUCCUGGAACAGAGUUGAGAACGUAUAAAUGUAUAAAUGCGUGAAAACAGGCAAUGAACAAAGUGUUCAUUCCAGUCUCGUGUCUAAAUUCCCCGGAACAUGUUUUUUCUCCUGCCUUUUCUCUGAACUCCAUGCAGGUCAAGUCACAGCCUUUUUUUUUUUUUUCUUUUUUCACAGACUCUCACUCUGUCUCCCAGGCUGGAGUGCAGUGGCGCGAUCUCAGCUCACUGCAACCUCCGCCUCCCAGGUUCAAGCAAUUCUCCUGCAUCAGCCUCUGGAGUAGCUGGGACCACAGGUGCACACCCCCACGCCUGGAUGAGGUCAUAGGCUUUGUCAGCUGUACCCGCAGUCUCCCUGUGCACCCAGCCACGGUUAGAGGUCACUGUCUUGACCCUGGCGGUGACCCUUGCUCUUUGCAGUUGUGCCACCCACUCUGCAUCCCUACUUGCAGCAGCUUAAUCUGGCCUCUUUCAAAAUAAUUUCAACCGACGGUAAUUGUAUAUAUUUCUUAGGUACAAUGUGAAGUUUUGAUGUAUGUUUGCAUUGUGGAAUGAUUGAAUGAAGCUAAAUAACAUAUCCAUUACUUUACAGGCAUCAUUUUUUCUGUGUGAAGAAAACAUUGAAAAUCUAUUAUUUUAGCAAUUUCGAAAUAUACACUACAUUAUUAUUGACUAUCGUCACCAUGCUAUGCAACAGAUCACUAGAACUUCUUUUAUUCCAGCACUUUGGGAGGCCGAGGCAGGCAGAUCACAAGGUCAGGAGUUCAAGACCAACACGGUGAAACCCCGUCUCUACUAAAAUGCAAAAAUUAGCUGGGCAUGGUGGCACUCACCUGUAGUCCCA
rnacentral:lncRNA from 10 species